rnacentral:lncRNA from 1 species
GAAACUCAGUUCAGAACUCACCGGAGCUGCCGUCUGGGAGGGGGGAGGGCGGAAGAACCCUGAGGUUUUUCCUCACAUUUCUGUCCCAUUUUUGGAACCUCUGGAUUUAAAGAAAUGAAAACCUCAAGUUUGUGGAGAUUUUAAGAAAUGGUUAUUCCAAUGGAAACAGCUGGAGAACUUAUAUUUCCGUGAGAAAAAAUUUGCUGUUGAAGUUCAUGAUCCACGAAGGAUUUCAGUUUCAAGAAGAACCUUUGGGCAAAGUGGCUUGUUUGUGCAAACAUGGUAUGCUAACUCUUCUCUCAUCAAGUCCAUUUGGGUAAUGGCAAUUAGUCAGCAUCAGUUUUACUUGGACCGGAAGCAAAGCAAAGCAAAAAUUCCUUCAGCCAGGAGUUUAGAUGAGAUUGCAAUGGAUUUGACAGAGACAGGAACACAAAGGGCCUCCAAGCUGGUGACACUGGAGACGAAAAGUCAGUUCAUCAUGGUUCUCAAGACUCAGAAGUUAGUGAAGAGCAAAAGAGAGAAAAAAUCCUUGAACUAAAGAAGAAGGAGAAACUAUUACAAGAAAAACUUCUGAAAAAAGUUGAGGAGCUUAAGAAG